UACAGAGGUCUCAAGCGUUGUUCGGAUUCAUUGGGCGUAAAUGGUGUGUAGGCGGCGCGGUAAGUCGGGUGUGAAAUCUCGGAGCUUAACUCCGAAACUGCAUUCGAUACUGCCGUGCUUGAGGACUGGAGAGGAGACUGGAAUUUACGGUGUAGCGGUGAAAUGCGUAGAUAUCGUAAGGAAGACCAGUGGCGAAGGCGGGUCUCUGGACAGUUCCUGACGCUGAGGCACGAAGGCCAGGGGAGCAAACGGG
rnacentral:rRNA from 1 species